CCUACGGGUGGCAGCAGUGGGGAACAUUGGGCAAUGGGCGCAAGCCUGACCCAGUAACGCCGCGUGAAGGAAGAAGGCUUUCGGGUUGUAAACUUCUUUUCUCAGGGACGAAGAAAGUGACGGUACCUGAGGAAUAAGCCACGGCUAACUACGUGCCAGCAGCCGCGGUAAUACGUAGGUGGCAAGCGUUAUCCGGAUUUACUGGGUGUAAAGGGCGUGUAAGAGGGACUGCAAGUCAGAUGUGAAAACCACGGGCUCAACCUGUGGCCUGCAUUUGAAACUGUAGUUCUUGAGUACUGGAGAGGCAGACGGAAUGCCUAGUGUAGCGGUGAAAUGCGUAGAUAUUAGGAGGAACACCAGUGGCGAAGGCGGUCUGCUGGACAGCAACUGACGCUGAGGCGCGAAAGCGUGGGGAGCAAACAGGAUUAGAUACCCUUGUAGUC
rnacentral:rRNA from 1 species